UGCCGGUAGGCCUACACAUGCAAGUCGAACGGCAGCACAGGAGAGCUUGCUCUCUGGGUGGCGAGUGGCGGACGGGUGAGGAAUACAUCGGAAUCUACUCUGUCGUGGGGGAUAACGUAGGGAAACUUACGCUAAUACCGCAUACGACCUACGGGUGAAAGCAGGGGAUCUUCGGACCUUGCGCGAUUGAAUGAGCCGAUGUCGGAUUAGCUAGUUGGCGGGGUAAAGGCCCACCAAGGCGACGAUCCGUAGCUGGUCUGAGAGGAUGAUCAGCCACACUGGAACUGAGACACGGUCCAGACUCCUACGGGAGGCAGCAGUGGGGAAUAUUGGACAAUGGGCGCAAGCCUGAUCCAGCCAUACCGCGUGGGUGAAGAAGGCCUUCGGGUUGUAAAGCCCUUUUGUUGGGAAAGAAAUCCAGCUGGCUAAUACCCGGUUGGGAUGACGGUACCCAAAGAAUAAGCACCGGCUAACUUCGUGCCAGCAGCCGCGGUAAUACGAAGGGUGCAAGCGUUACUCGGAAUUACUGGGGCGUAAAGCGUGCGUAGGGUGGUCGUUUAAGUCCCGUUGUGAAAGCCCUGGGGCUC
rnacentral:rRNA from 1 species